GGAGAGAUGGGUGAGCGGCUGAAACCAGCAGUUUGCUAAACUGCGAUACUCGUCAAAGGGUAUCGGGGGUUCGAAUCCCCCUCUCUCCG
rnacentral:tRNA from 1 species